GCGCCUGAGGGACUCUCGGCGGAGCCUAAGCGAAAGCUCACGCAGCCCGCCGGCCGUGCACGCACCGCACGGGGAUGGGCAAAGGGCGGGAAAAGGGGCGGGAAAUGAAGGCGCUGGUGCGAGGCGAGGCAGCUGCUCAGGAAAGAAGAAAUCAUAUGAAGCAUUUGGGAACAGCAGCUGAAGAUGGGACAUAACUUCUAAAAAAUGAACUUAUCAAGUGGUAGAGCCACAGCUGUGUCAUAAUGAUGCCUUUGCUUUUAGAGAAGGACAAGCUGCACCAAACAAAAACUGAGAGCAUCCUCCAGGAGCUGAACUGGAGAGACAUCAGGAUCUCUGGCAGAAGUCAUCUUCUCCUUGCAGUAGCUUCGCAUCUCCUGCUUCUGGCAUUUCAUUUGUAUUUGACAUAUCUAAAUGGUAUAUUAUAUUUAACAGCCUCUUUCCUCUGGGAGAUCAAGACAGCUUACAAGGUGGCCAGUCUAUUUCUGCUUAACUAGCACUAUGGGAUAGGUUACACCGCAUGGUGGCACAGUGGUUAGAAUGCAAUACUGCAGGCUACUUCUGCUGCCUGCUGGCUGACUGCAGUUCAGCAAUUCAAUUCUCACCAGCCCAAGGUUGACUCAGCCUUCCAUCUUUCCGAGGUCGGUAAAAUGAACCAGAUUGUUGGGGGCAAUAUGCUGACUCUGUAAACCGCUUAGAGAGGGCUGUAAAGCACUGUAAAGUGAUAUCUACAGUAAGUCUACAUGCUAUUGCUAUUGAGAGAGAUUGAGAGGUCCAAACUCCUCCACUAUCUGAUGGAACUUGAACCUGACUCUCCUAGAUUUCAGUCAAAAAUCUUUCAAGAACAUUGGAUUGCUCUCCAGGAGAGAGAAGAUUUUUGAGAAUUUAGGAAACUAACCCUAGCAUAGAAAUGGGAAAGACUCAGACAGAGGAAAUUACAUCUCUUUGAAUAUUGCGGAUAUACAGGAGGAAAUAAAAUUAACUAGAUAAUGGAAAAGAUUAGAAGAUUCUUAGCAGACAUGAUGGAGCCUGCAAAGAUAUCAGAAAUGAAGGUGGAGAGAUUGUUCCCAGAGAACUGACAGAAAUAAUACAUAGAACUGAGGAAAGGGUACAAAACUUGUGAAGCUGUGCAUAGAAGGUAUCUCUACCACCAGGCACUGACAGAUCCACAGGAAGAGAAAGGAGAGAAGUUAGCCUGGAAAUGAUGGAUAGGAAGAGAAGAAAGGGAUUAGCUCAGAAGAAGCAGCAAUCUGAGAAGGUAAAACAGGAAAGAGCAAGAUUUACUCAAUAGUUACAAAUGGCAAAGCUAUCAAUUUCUGAGAGCUAGGAAGCUUACUUAUUAGAAAGAGGUAGGCUAAGAAGAUAAAGAAAAAUAAAGGGCAAGAUCAAAAGAUUACAAGUGACAAAACAAUAAAAAAGGGAGGGCACAUGGCAUUGGUAGCUUGGCCAAAGUGUUUUCAUUUGUGAAUUUUUUAUUUGAUGGCUGGUAGAAGAUCAAGGAAGAGACAUGCCUCAGUGUGUGUCAUCUGGGGGUGGAUCAUGGCUGACUACUGAAGAGGAAGAGGAGCCAACAGAAUUGCAUGAGCCAUCAAAGAGGAUCUUGAAGAGGAAUCAAGCAACCAAGUUUGAGACUUUUUGCUUUGGCUGGGAGCAUAUUUGCCAAGGUAAGAGUUGAACUGUUUGACUACAUACUGUAUGUUUGAAAUGUGUGUUUCUUUAAAGAGCCUUUCACUGCUGUUGGGAACCUGCUGGAUCAAAUUACCACAAAAUCCUAUGCUCACAGCUACCACAUGGCAAUGGGAGUUCACAAAUCCUGUAUGUACAGGUGUGGCUAUCAUAAUAUGAUUAUUAUAAAGAUAAAAUGUAUUAUAAUAUUUUCUUAUUUUUCAUAUAGCAAUGGCACUUAGAUUUAUAUACUGCUCCACAGAGCUUUACAGUCCUCUCUAAGUGGUUUAUAGAGUCAUCAUAUUGCCCCUAAUAAUCUGGGUCCUCAUUUUACCAACCUCAGAAGGAUGGAAGAUUGAGUCAACCUUGAGCAGGUAAGAAUUGAACUGCUGGCAAUGGCAGUCAAUAGAAUUAGCCUGAAAUACUGCAUUCUAACCACUGCACCACUGCAUAUUUCCUACAUUCUUGUGGGGUUUUUUUUUUCAUUUUGCACUUUUUAAAAUAUUUGUAUGGUGCUUCUUGCCACCAUAAAAAAAAUAGAAGUUAGAAUAAAUGAUUUCUAAAGUCUCUUUCAACCUUGUGAUUCUAUUAUUCUUGUUCUAUUCAAUGAUUGCUAGCUCAGAAUCCAAUCAUUCUCUGCUUUUCACAUAAGGACAGAUAAAUAAAAAAGUUUUAAUGCAGUUCAAGCCUAACAAAUUUCAUCAUUCCCUUCAAGUAUUUAUUUUAAUUGGCUAACAUGACUAAUGAGCCUGUGAGAAUAAUUCUAGUCCUGAAUUCCUUCUGAUUUAUCUGCUAAUUAAAGAAAUUUUAAUGAACAAGUUAUUUGAAGCCAUACUUCUUAUUUGGGAAAUGUCUACAGUAUACUUAGAUUAAUGGUUACUAACAGCCCUGAGAAAAACCAAGAAAGAACCAAUGAUCUAUGAAUUUUAUGUUAGCUAAUUUAUUGUGGUCUGUUUGACUUCCACUUAGCAUGUUAUAUGAGCAAAAACUGAUGCAGUUUAAAACAAUGAUCUAUGGCUUAACAAAUUGUGAUUCCAAAACAUUCAAAAGCCAUGUUUAAGUAGACCAUAAUAUAUGGCAAUAUGUGAACCUAAAUCUUUUGCGAUUAAAAAAAAAUCAUAUAUUCUUCUCCUGCUUACCUAUGUUUCCCCACUUUUCUGGAAUCUACCCAUAGACAGCACCAUAAGUAGAACAUGUACCAAUAAUCUAAAUUGGUACACACAGACAUGCAGUAAAUACAAGCCUAUGGGGCUUCAUUAUUCAAUGUCAUUUAUUUGACUUUGUAUUAGAAACAAGCAAUCGGAAUAAAUUGGGUAUAAUAUGGCUCUGCCUCUGUUUGUCAUUCAUCAGCUGAGUAGCUGCACUCUGCAGGAAGGGAAACUUGUAAACAAGGCUUAGAGAACAUUAUAACAAUUCAAAUAGGAAAUCACUAAGGUAAAUUAGCCAAAGAAAAAUAUAGCAGAAGAAUCAGCUGGAGCUACAAGUUGUCACUCUUGGCCACUGUGACUAUUUGUGCCUCCAGUGAAAAAGCUAAUUAUGUGAGUCCCCUCCCUGCAAAGACUGUUGAUGAUUGCUUCUUCCUGACAAUGGAACCCUACCCCAAACAAACUGUCUUCUGACUUUCUGGAUGCAGAAACUACUUACAGUCUUCUCAAGAAACCAGUCUCAUUAUACUGGCCUUCAUCAAAUGUAUUACUCACUCCAGCCAAGCCCUAGUCCAGUAUGUGUCUGACUUCACUUGGUUUAGCUGAGGUGGAUGGAGAAGCAAUGCUGGGUCUAACUGCAUAAAGUUUUACAAGGAGACAUUGUAAACUAGAGCUGUAUCAAUCAAGUGGAUCUUAUUUAUUUAUCAUAUUUAAAUACAGCUCAUCUCACUCUCAGAGGGACUGAGUCUUGGCAUGGAUAUCAAAUUGUAUCAAAGUUCUCCACAGAGUUCAUGGGAUCAUGAAUAUCUUGUGGUUAAACAAACCCAAACCCUAGAUUCUAUUGGCAAUGUUUGAUUGAAAGAAAUUGUUUAAGUAUUCAAGUCUGUGUCUACUUUCAAGAUACCAGGAAUUAAAUCCAAGAACUUCUGACCUCUCUGCCACUCAGAUUCAAUCUUCUUCCUACAGAUCAAUUUUAUAACUUCAAUUAUAACACAGUGGAGACUCCAAGAAAAAAGUUGUACUGUUGUUUUGUUUUGCAGUUCAGCACAACUAUAGCAACAAGAUCAAGGUCAACUCAGCCUUCCAUCCUUUCUAAGGUGGGUAAAAUGAGGACCCGGUUUGUGGGGGCAAUAAGCUGACUUUGUAUAAAAUAUACAAAAGUAUGAAGGCUAUUGCUUAACGCAUUGUAAGCCACCCUGAGUCUCCGGAGAAGGGCAGCAUAUAAAAAUAAAUAAAUAAAAAUAAAUAAAAACUGAAGCCAUUUUAUACUUUAAAAGCAUAUUUUAAGAUGCCAAUCUGUUAAACAGGGUCAAGCAAUUUGUUUGUACUAGCUUUGUAAUUCACAUUAUUGCUUUGGUGGUAUGUAAUUUUUCUUGCUUUAGUUGAUAAUAUUGUGAUGACUUUGAUCAAGCAGACAGUGAUGUCAGCCUUCCUCAUAGUUCACUGAAUCAUGCUUACUCAGUUCACACAAUUUCCUGGAUUUAUGUAACAGUGAAAAUAGUAUGUGGACCAGGUUCAUUCUACACUCAUGAAGUUAAAAUAUAGUUGUUUAGUUUAAUUUAUUUUGCUAGAGCUGGCUGCUGAUAAGUCCUGGAGCAAUCGUGAAUUUCCUGUAGGUCCUAAGGCAGUGCAAAAAUUCUUGUUGCACAUUUUUUGUCUAUAUUGUUCCUGGCUGUAUGAGUUUCUGGGCUGUCUUUUAAAAUAUGAAAAGAAAGGUAAAGAAUGUUUCUAAAUGGUCAUGCAAGUUACAGAUCUCUAGACUUGUAUAAAUUAGAUCCUACAGAAGAGUAUAUAUGAGAACAUAUCCAAGGCACCUACUCCUGGAAUUCAUUUACAGUGAUGUUAAUCUUGCUAUGGCUAAAAUGCAAUACAUAAAACUUUACAACAAUUACAUAUGUAAUCAAACAAUUCACUUGGUCAAAUUCAUAUAUGUGCACAAAGUGUAUAGAAUGAGCAGUUUAAAAAAAGUGUUUUGAUAAAUUUUUGCCUGCAAAUC